CGCAGAAAUGUGACGUAAGCAACUAAUUGAGGUUUGUGCCACGCUAUUGCACCUGCACGCAAUCAAAGUGAAUGCAUAUGUUAAGUUUUAUGGUGAAUGAUCUAGCUUAUUCGUUGUCUUUGUGGUUUCGCAUUGUUACUGGAAGAGAAAGAGUCUUCUCCUCUGAUGCACCUUGCGCUUCAUGCGGUGGCAGAAGCUCCAGAUGACGCCUACAAACAUGACCAGGAGGCCAAACGUCAUCAGGACGUAGGCUAGGAUGAGUGCCCAUGAGUCCACAUAGGCCUCCAUGGACAACAGUCGGCCGGACGCUCAGCGCCUGCUGCUGCGGCUGCUGCUGCCGGAAAGGAGGGAAAAGAAGCAGACAUAGAUGACUGAGUGGGACGUCACACUGUUCCUCAUUUAGGCUUUUAAUCAAGCAGCCAGGGAAU